CAAAGCUGAAUAGAUUUUCAGUGGUCCAGCCUCCUUCUCUGAGGCCUCCCCCAACCAUUCCUGCCCAUAAGGCUUCCCCCUUCCUUUCAACUCCUGAAGCUCCUAUGGCCAACUUCUCCCAUCCUCUCCCUUUUGCUAGAGGGCAGAUGUUUCAUUCCCUAAUCAAACUCCACUGUUUUUAGAGUGAGGAAUCUUCUUAGACUUCUGACUCCCCAGGAUAUCUAGUACAUAGAGAGUACUAAUGCAUAUAUACAUAGAUUGAUCCAAAUAGCACUGUUGAUACAAUCAUUGUCUAGUGGGAAAGCGAGUAAAUAAAAAUAAUGUAGAACAUGUGAAAGAGCAAAAGACAUCAUGGUACUAGUUCAAACAAGGGCAGAAACGCAGCCUUCACCCUCUUACGUUACUUAGUGUCUCUGUAUGUCAGUUACAAAAAAAAACACAGAAAAAAAUAAUAGUGCUUACUUCAUAGGCUGUCAUGAGAAUUAAGUGAGUUCAUAUUUGUAAAGUGCUUAAAACAGUGCCAGGCAUGUAGCAAAUGCCACAUAGGCAUUUGUUAAAUGAAAAUAAAAAUUAAAUACCACACCAUGCCAAAAUCUACCAGAGUGCCUGCCACAGGGAAGCUGCUCUAUAAAGAUGGAAACUCAACUACCUUCUUUGUUUUCUGACAUUGGAACCAGCAGGCGCCCGGGAUGGAGCCGCUCUCAGAGCCAACGGGCUGGCUGGUGACCAUGCCUUGCAGAAGCAGAAAAUCUUGGGAGCGCAGCAAGCUCCGUGCUCCAGUUCAAGAGUCCUGGAAGUUACCAGGUUCUUCCACAAACUCAGCUCAGUGGGAGCGCUCCCAGAGUUGGGGCGUGCGGCUUUUGGAGGAGCAGUUGCUGGGCACCAGGGCGCCCCCGCCGGUGGUGGCUGCAGCUGCCGCGGUGAGGGGGCAGACCGGAGCUCCGCCCCCCGACCUCACCGCCCAGAGCCUGCACGGAAAGUUACUGCGUGCUAACGUGGCAGGACAGAUGGAAAGCGCGGGGCUGCCAAGUGCUGAAAUCCUGGGCUGUGUUUCUUAUGCUCACAGGCACGGCUCUUUUGAGAAUCUAGUCUGUACAUGUCCCCUGCACAUAACUGUAUUCUUUCAGCAGUUUCUGUAUUUUGGGGCAGAGGGAGGAGAAAAAGUUUGAGGGAGUGGCAGUCAAGGCAUGGGCCAAGAUCCCAUGCAUGCCCAGCGAUGUCCCUAAGGUGAACAGGUAAUUUUACCCACUGUAUUGUGUAUGGUUAACUUUCAUCUAAUAGAAUUAAAAACAUAACCUAGUGCUUUAUCAAGGUCAACUCACUGGAGGCUUCCAUGUGUCUAGUUGCCCAUUCAUUUUUUAACAAACAUUUCCCAGGCACCUGUUUAUCCAUCAGUUACCCAAGCAGGCCCUGGGAACACAGAGGAGCUCAGGUCCAGAGUGGAGACAGACAGGAAGUUGUUGCUGUAGGAUGUGAGAGCUGUCUGGGGGCCCCCACGUAGGGCUCCCUGAACAGAAAGGAUUCCUGCCAGGUUGGAGAGCGGCCUGCCCAGGCCUGCGGGGGAGUCUUGUUAGAGCUUCGCUCUGAAGACUGACUCUGGUGAGAAGGUCGUCAGGCUCAACUGAAUAGAAGAGAGAGAUUUUGGCUUUGAUUCCAGAAUGAUGUUUCGCAGAAAGUCAACUCUUGUUCCAGGGUGUCAGUCAAGGUACCAACCCGUGUAUCUGUAGAAAAUUGCCGGAAACUGUCACAAAACGAAAAAUGAGAGAAAGCCUGAGUUAAAAUGAUCCUGUUGGGGUGAUACAAGGAAUGUCAGCUCCUUGAAAGAGGUGGACGAUAUCUACCACCCUUGAAUAAGCCUAGAACAAUACAGAGUAGGUGCUCUGAAGACAUUCCGGGAAUGAAUUCUGAGUAAACAUGUAAAAAGGGGUAACAAUAUCUUCCUGAAAGUCUGUGAUUGGAUUUGAAAAUCUUCCUGCCUUUUCCAUUUCUAAAUAUUCCCCGAUUCCUUGCACAGAAAGUCUGAAUCCCACAACAAUGUUAAAGACAUGCAGUUAGAAAAUGUUCCAAUAGGCAAUAUAGAAUAAUUCAUCCUAGGUUUGCCAAGUGGAGGCACUCUGGCUAUGUGCUUUAAUGAAAAGAAUAACGACUUACUAUUUGCAUGUCCAGUAUUUAAAGGGACCAUUUAAGUACUAUUUGUAAAUAAUGUAUGUAAAGGGAUCAUUUUACACUAUUUAAAAGUCAUGUUCCUUUAAGCAGUGGUAAGAUGUUCAGAGCAAUCCUACUGACAGUUGGCUUAGCACAUCCUUUCUUCACAGGUCUUGGAAGGAAUACAAUGCUGCAGCACAACACGUGAGCUAAAGGAAGUGGCCCAGGUAAGCACAGGCUGCAUGACUGGCAUGUUCCUUACUCCACUACUGUGUUCUGUGUCGGUCAGGCCAGUUCCAGGCUGUGCUGGAAGAGGAACACACUGUAAACUGCAUUACAUCCUAGGGAAGGAACCAGAAACCAUGUUAGCAGAAGAAAAUGGAAAGCCUAACUAACAGGGGAGGGGACUGUGCAGACUCAGAGUUGUCAAAUAUUUGAACGUUUCUCAUAAAAAGACAGAUUCUGCAUAUGCCAUGAGACAAAUCUAGAACCGAUGAGUAGAAGCUACAGGGGAGCAGAAUAUGACUCAACCCACAGAAGGAAUCUCCAAGAGUCUGGCCUCCUAAGCAGAGGCCUGAUUGGAAAUGUAAGGAACAGGCACCUUUGCUGAAUUUCGGGCCAGCCAACCCGGAGUCAGCAGUGUCCUACACGGCUUCCUCCUGCUGUAGGCGGGCAGCACGCACACUUCUGGCAAGCUCUCAUGGAAAUCUGUCCAGCAUUCUGGACGGGCUAGAAUCACAGUGUUCUUUUCUAACAUCUAAGGUGGAGUAUGAUAAGUCUGCUGUAGCUAAUGACUUAAGUUCAGAAAACUUUGAAUUUCAAAAGUUAGCUUAGAAUCUCCCAGGGCCAUGAUUUUAUUUUACAUUGUGACCUGGAAGCAAGAUUUUGUAUUCUGACCUUACUGUUUCCUACCCGGGAGAUUUCUUAUCUGGAAGGCUGAAGCAGGCCACUGCUCUUCUUGGAGAACACCAGUUUGCGUUUCGGGAAUAACCCUGGGUGUAGGGGUAGAAGAUAAGCUGGGAAGCUGAAGGGUUGGAUUAGAUCACCUUUUAAUUUGUUAUCUGAGAACUGUUUUUUUUUUUUUUUUAAAGCUAUUCCUUCUAGCAGGGGUGGCUGGUAACUUUCUGCAGAAGCUGACCCUCCUCAGCAACAGCCCCCAGCCUGACACCUCUUUUCUCCUUUUUUCCUUCCCUUGCUUUUCAUUAGAGUCCCUAUGAGCCUUUACAUGCUUAGCAUGAAAAUGAGCCCAUUUUAUUUUUGGAACCCACAGAGGCAGCCCUGAGGGGAGUUAUUGUGUUGCUUUUAGCAGCUAAACAAAAAGGUGUGAAAUCAUUUGCUGGCUGUUCUAGAAUGGGAGAAAAUAAAUAAAUAAAUAGAGAAGGGAGGUUCAGAACAGUGGGUGGCAACUUGGACAGAACCUCGUGACUGGGCUUCUCUGAGGCUUAUUAGUAACCAAAAGGGCUGCGGGGAUGUCUGUGUAUCUCUCUCACCUUCCCAGGAAGUUACUAGAAUAGCACUGGAAGCCACUGGGAUUUUUUUUUUAAUUUAUUCAUCUUGAAAUACUAUUUCCAUGUUGCUCUGAAAAGGACUUGGGGAUGGGACUAGUUUGAGAGAAUUCUUUACAGUCAUUUAUAACACUCCCUGUACAGGGAGGUGAGGGAGAGGAGGCCACUUCAGCAAGCUUUUCUAAAAAUCGGAGGUACCCAGGGAGUAGUACUUUAUCAUGAGGCUUUUCACAAUUUAAUAACAUAGCAGUGGUAAGAGACAAAGGCCCGAUGCCACACAGAUUUCUCGUGAAGCUGGAGGAUUUUGCCUCUUUCCCAAGAGCCAAACCCUGUUCUGCAGCAGGUGUGUGCCCUUCCACCCUUGGCCUGCAUGCAGGCCUGACCAAUUAGCUUAACAAAUGCCUUUGGAGCUGGUCUCCCAGCUGCCUGGCUUCGGUGGCGGUGCACAUCACCAUGCAGGGGGCAGCCGCUGGGCCCCUUUGAUUGAGAUGUCUUAUGAGCCUCAUUUUCUUUAGCAUUCAGGGCAGAAUUCUAGGACAGUCAAACACCAGGAUAAGACAAACCCUUUAAAAGUACAAUGAAAUUGAUUAAUUAAUUCAUAGAACAGAUAAUGUUGAUUGCUCACUUAUUGCCAGGGACUAUCUGUGUGCAGAGAUAUGGUGAGUCACAGACAGGCAAAUGGAAACUGAAACCAUUGUAAUACCCAAAUUUCUCUUCGGAAAGGAACUGUCCUGGCUUAGGAACAUUUCAUGAUAAGCUGUGGACCUUGAAGAUAGGGGUGAUAAAGACCAAGACACAAUUAACUGAGCUGAGCUGGAUCCUGGGUGAAGGAGGAGAGAGGAGAAAGAGGGGGAGGAGAGAGAUGCCUAGGAACCUCAGGGUGAGGGCGAGAGAGAAGAGGGUGGGAGUGGGGAAAAAAACAAAGGAGGAAGACACAAGGACAUUUAGCAAAAUGGCUGAGAUGAGAACAGUCUGCAGUGGUUCCGCUGCUGAAGGGUUGGCAGCCAGGCUGCGCAGGGCCCACCCACAGCUGUUUGUCCUCAGUGGGAGGGUCACUGCGCGCUGCCCACCCUCUCCUCCCUCCCAGGAAAGUCUCCAGAGACGCAGGUUUCUCUAAAAAAUCAAGUAAGGGGUGGAUAUCAUAUACAAGUAUAUUUAUGUAUUUAUGUAAAUGCAGAUAAUGCACAUGUGUCACAUGUAUGUUUCCUAUACACAUAUGCAUGUACAUAUGAUACAUGC